GAGUGGUGGGUAGGUGGAUAGGUGGAUGUUGGUGGUGGAGGAAUGGAUGUAGGUAGAGAAGAGAGAUGGGUGGAGGAGAGUGGAAUCGGAGAAUGCAAAUGGUGGAACAGGUGAAAAUAGGUGGUUGGGAUAGGUGGGUGGAUGUAGGUGGAUAGGAGGAGUGGUGGGUAGGUGGAUAGGUGGAUGUUGGUGGUGGAGGAAUGGAUGUAGGUAGAGAGAUGGAUGGAGGAGAGUGGAAUCGGAGAAUGCAAAUGGUGGAACAGGUGAAUAUAUGUGGUUGGGAUAGGUGGGUGGAUGUAGGUGGAUAGGAGGAGUGGUGGGUAGGUGGAUAGGUGGAUGUUGGUGGUGGAGGAAUGGAUGUUGGUAGAGAAGAGAGAUGGGUGGAGGAGAGUGGAAUCGGAGAAUGCAAAUGGUGGAACAGGUGAAAAUAGGUGGUUGGGAUAGGUGGGUGGAUGUAGGUGGAUAGGAGAAGUGGUGGGUAGGUGGAUAGGUAGGUGGAGGUAAGAGCUAAUUAAUUAAGGUGAAAUGACAUGGGGCUGAGAUGACACACACACACACACACACACACACACACAACCACAACCACACCACCAUCACCACCAUCACCACACAACAUAAAUAUCACAAUCACUUUCAUUACCAUCAACUUCAUCACCACCAUCAUCACCACCAUCAACA